rnacentral:SRP_RNA from 1 species
CGGUGAGCUAGGCCGGGGGGUUAGCGGUCCCUUCUCGCGAAAAUCCGCUAUAUGUCGGGCUGAAGCUUGGAAGAGGCGUUCGGAACCGCUCUCCAGCUUGGCUCGCGUCUGAGAAGUCUCGUCCUGCAGGGUCGACGGUGACGGGACCUCGAUCGUAAGGUUGAGGCAAACCGUCUUCACCUGCUGAACCCGGUCAGGGACGGAAGUCAGCAGCCGUAGGCAGGACGCGCGACGCUUGCGGGGUCGCGGGAUGGAGAUUGCGGACCAAGUGUCGGGGAGUGGAGAAGGCGUCCACUCCAAGCGUGUUCGCCG